rnacentral:rRNA from 1 species
CUUGGUCAUUUAGAGGAAGUAAAAGUCGUAACAAGGUUUCCGUAGGUGAACCUGCGGAAGGAUCAUUAUUGAUUGCGAAUCGUUACCUUUCAGUUGCCGGCCGGCUUCGGCAAGUGCACGUCGGUGACUUUCAUCCAAUACCCUGUGCACCUUUGGCCUCUUGCUAGCUUCGGCCGGCAGAGGAUUUUACACAAACUCGAAUGUAAUGAAAUUUACUGUCGUGCGCAAGCACUAAUGUACAACUUUCAACAACGGAUCUCUUGGCUCUCGCAUCGAUGAAGAACGCAGCGAAAUGCGAUAAGUAAUGUGAAUUGCAGAAUUCAGUGAAUCAUCGAAUCUUUGAACGCACCUUGCACCCUUUGGCAUUCCGAAGGGUAUGCUCGUUUGAGUGUCAUUGUACUCUCACACUCCCAAUACUUUUGGAUUGGGAGCGGUGGACUUGGGUGUUGCUGCUUUACUGUGGCUCACCUCAAAUGGAGUAGUGCAACUCUCGGUUGGACAUAGUACGGCGUGAUAAGUGUCUUCGCCGGCGCCUCAUUAGAGGGUGGCCGAUCGGGAGCCAAGCUUUCAAACCGUCUUCGGACAACAUCUGACAACUUCACCUCAAAUCGAGUAGGCCUACCCUGGGAACUUAAGCAAUCAAAAGCGGAGCA